rnacentral:rRNA from 1 species
GACGUAGGGCGCGAGCGUUGUCCGGAUUUAUUGGGCGUAAAGAGCUCGUAGGCGGCUUGUCGCGUCGGCCGUGAAAACCUGCAGCUCAACUGCAGGCUUGCGGUCGAUACGGGCAGGCUGGAGUUCGGUAGGGGAGACUGGAAUCCCUGGUGUAGCGGUGAAAUGCGCAGAUAUCAGGAGGAACACCGGUGGCGAAGGCGGGUCUCUGGGCCGAUACUGACGCUGAGGAGCGAAAGCGUGGGGAGCGAACAGG